rnacentral:rRNA from 1 species
UACGGAGGGUGCGAGCGUUAAUCGGAAUUACUGGGCGUAAAGCGCACGUAGGCGGUUUGUUAAGUCGGAUGUGAAAUCCCCGGGCUCAACCUGGGUGCUGCAUUCGAUACUGGCAGGCUUGAAUACGGUAGAGGGGGGUGGAAUUCCAGGUGUAGCGGUGAAAUGCGUAGAGAUCUGGAGGAACACCAGUGGCGAAGGCGGCCCCCUGGACCGAUAUUGACGCUGAGGUGCGAAAGCGUGGGGAGCAAAC